AUGCAGCUGACGAGUCCCAAAUUGGACGAAACGUGCGUCCUGGAU
rnacentral:hammerhead_ribozyme from 1 species